rnacentral:rRNA from 1 species
GCGAACCCAUAUCAAGCGACAACACCCACUUAGUUUAAGAAUAUAAUUAAGCAGAGGAAAAGAAGCAUACAAGGAUUCCCCAAGUAACAGCGAGCGAACCAAGAACAACCCAGCAUGAAAAUCAAGUGGUAAAAUCACCUGAAUUGUAUUCUAUAGAAGCAUCCUUAGCACCAGAAUGGUCCCUAAAAUCACCUGAAUUGUAUUCUAUAGAAGCAUCCUUAGCACCAGAAUGGUCCCAAGUCCCUUAGAAGGGGGCACUUUAUAGGGUGACAACCCUAUCGGGCUGGGACACUAUCGCACCACGAGGCGUUGUCGAUGAGUUAUAUUUUUUUGGAAUGUAGCCCUAAUUGGGUGGUAAAUUCUAUCCAAGAAUAUGGGUGAGAGACCGAUAGCGAACAAGUACCACAAGGGAAAUAUGAGAAUGAAUUUGAAAAGAGAGUUAAAGAGUGCCUGGAAUUGUUGGGAGGGAAAUAGAUGGAGGCCGACGAUGUGUCUCGGUUAGAUGUGGAAUGAAUCAAGUUGGUCCAUUGCUCGACUCGAGGUGAGAAAUAGCACAUGCCAUUGCAUCAACACAAGCGAGGGUGGAGUACUUCCUAUUGGUUUUUCAUUGUGGUAGUCGAGGAAUGAAGCGUGCACCCUUGGGGUGAGCCAGUAUGCACCUUCAUGCUCAUGGUAUUGGUUGGUGGGAUCUCCAUUCAACCCGUCUUGAAAGACGAACCAAGGAGUGUAACAUGUGUGCAAGUCGGUGGGUUUGUAAACCUGCAAGAUGUAAGGAAGAUGAUAGGAAAGAUCCCCUCUCCAUGGGGUGCAUUGUUGACUGACCUUGAUCUUGUGUGAAGGGUUCGAGUGCGAGAAUACCUUUUGGGACCCAAAAGAUGGUGAACUAUGCUUGAGUAGGGUGAAGCCAAAGGAAACUCUAGUGGAGGCCCAUAUAAAUAUUAACAUGCAAAUCAUUCAUUUGAUAGUAGUUGUUUUCCUUCGAAUUUUCCCUCAGGAUAGAUGGAUCUCACAUACGAGUUUUAUCAGGUAAAAAAAAUGAUUAGUGGCAUUGGGGGCGUAACACCCUCAACCUAUUCUGAAACUUUAAAUUGGUAAGACAGUGCGACUGCUCCAUUGAGCCAUGCCACAAAAUCAAGAGCUCCAAGUGGGCCAUUUUUGGUAAGAAGAACUGGCCUUGUGGGUGAACUGAAAUUCGAGUUACAGUGCCAAACUACACGCUAAACCAGAUCCCACAAAGGUUUUUGGUUUAUUAAGACAAUAGGAGGGUGGUCAUGGAAGUCCAAAUCCGCUAAGGAGUGUGUAACAACUCACCUGACGAAUCAAAUAGCCCCAAAAAUGGAUGGCGCUGAAGCAUGUGACCUAUACUUGAUCGUCGGAGAAAUUCUCAGGCUUCAAUGAGUAGGAGGACGUAGGGGGUUGUUGAGAAAACUUGGACAUGAUCUUGGGUGGACCGACCCUCGGUGUAGAUCUUGGUGGUAGUAGAAAAUAUUCAAAUGAGAACUUUGAAGACUUAAGUGGGGAUAGGUUCCACGCGAACAACACUUGGACAUGGUGUAGUCGAUCCUAAGAGAUGGGAAAAACUUGUAUCAAAGGUGCAAUUUGCACGAACAUCGAAAGGGAAUCGGGUUAAUAUUCCCGAACCAAGACAUGGCAGUGAAUGACAACGUUAGGAAAUCUGAAGACCUCAUCGGGGGCCCUGGGAAGUGUUAUAUUUUAUUUUUACAUCUUUCCCACCCUCAAAUCAGCUCAAUCGGAGAUAGGGUCGAGCAACUAGAAGAGCAUCACACGUCUUGCAAUGUCCAGUAUGCCCUCAAUGGCCUUUAAGAAUAUGGAGGACUGAGUACCAUCCAUGCUUGGUCUUACUCAUAACCACAUCAUGUCUCCAAGGUGAACAAUUUCUGGUCAAUAGAACAAUGUAGGUAAGGGAAGUCGGCAAAAUGGAUCCGUAACUUUGGGAAAAGGAUUUCCUCUUACGGAUAGGCCUAAGGGUUUGCAUCCUCAAACCUUGGGAUAUCUGCAAUAUGCCUGAGCUUUUAUCACGGUGAGGGAGGGCAUUCGCCUGUCGAUUGGGAUACAGACGUAGAAUGUCCCCUCGCAGGGACUUUUCCCUAGGUGGCGAACAAUCAACUCAAAACUGGUAUGGACAAGGGGAAUCCAACUAUUUAAUUAAAACAAACCAUUGAUAUGGUCCCUGUGGAUGUUGAUGGAAUGUGAUUUCUACCUAGUUCUCUAAAUGUCAAAGUUAAUAAGUUCAACCAAGCGUGGGUAAACAACGAGAAUUACUAUCACUCUCUUAAGAUAUCCAAAUGCCUCAUCAUAUAAUUAUUCACAUGCAUGAAUGGAUUAAGGAGAUUCCCACAAUCCCUAUAUACUAUCUAGCCAAACCAUAACUAAGGGAACGGGCUUGGCAUAAUCAACGGGGAAAGAAGACCCUGUUGAGCUUGACUCUAGUUUGACUUUGUGAAAUGACUUGAGAGGUGUAGAA